rnacentral:misc_RNA from 1 species
CAUUAAUUUUUUUUAUUUCUGAAAUGUACUUUAAUUCUUCACAAUUCGUAUCAUCAACAUUUCGAUCAGAGAGAGAGAGAGAGAAAGCGCUCCCCGGAUAAAACGCCGUCGUCGCGGCGCGAGUUGGACUUCGCGAUUUCCCCGGGGCAGCAGGUGCAACGCGCAGGCAGGUGAUGUAACGCCUACGCUCGAGGGACCGCCGAUAAGGCAGCUCGCGCGAUCUCCUCUCCUUUUACCUGGCCGUUCUCUCGGCCGAGUUACCUCAGGCCGAUCUCGUUCCGCACGCGUGCCGUGCACCGGUCAGACUUUUACGGCGCGUUAUCGCGGCGCCGCCGCCGCUCUCGUCUUUCCUCGCCAUGUCCCGCCUCGCCUUGCCGUGGCCGGGGAUCAUCAUCCGACGCGAGUGCGUCGCGUUCGUAACAAACAACGCGAAUUGAAAACAACGGGAUCACUCGCUCCUUCGAUCUUGCUAAGCGCGACACGCGGCGUGGCGUGGCGUGGCGUAGCGACGACGGCGACGACGACAACGACGGUGUCUAAAGUGCGCCGCGAGGAUGAUGUACGUGGGUCGCGCACAGGCUCGCGCGUCAGUCGCCCGCACUUGUUAGUCCCACGAGUCCGGCGAAGCGGCUGGGCUCCUCUCGCCGAUUCUACGCGCGGACGACGGCAGCGGCAGCAGCAGCAACGGCAUGGACGACGAGCCGCCGGCGGCCACGUACCUUGGCCUAGACCUCAGCACGCAGCAGUUGAAAGCUGUGGUGGUUGACGAUAAUUUAGCCGUUCUUCACGAGACCAGCGUGCAAUUCGACAAUGAUCUACCGGAAUUUAGGACUUACGGAGGAGUUAUACGAAAGAAGGAUGAGUCACAUGUCGUGGUGGUGCCUUCUCUAAUGUGGGUCAAGUCCUUAGAUAUGAUACUAGACAAAUUGCGCGUUUGCGGCGUCGAUUUUGACAAAGUAGCGGCUAUUUCCGGUUGCGCGCAGCAACACGGCACGGUUUACUGGGGCAAAGGCAGCCGCGAUCGAUUACGGCGUUUGGAUCCGAUAAAAUUCUUGCACGAACAAUUCGCCACGUCGUUCUCCGUGACUCACUCGCCCGUAUGGAUGGAUUCCAGCACGUCAAAAGAGUGUAGUGUUUUGGAGGAGAUCGUGGGUGGCCCUCACAAAUUAGCAGAAAUAACGGGUUCACGGGCGUAUGAGAGAUUCUCGGGACCACAGAUAGCGAAAAUAGCACGCACGAAGCCGGAUGCUUACUGCAGCACUGAGAGAAUCUCGUUGGUGAGCAACUUUAUUGCUUCCUUGUUUUUGGGCGAUUACGCGCCUAUCGAUUGGUCGGAUGGCUCGGGUAUGAAUCUAUUAAAUAUCCGUACAAAAGACUGGGAUGAUAUGUUACUGGAGACUUGCGCAACGGGGCUAAGAGAGAAAUUGGGCGAGCCUGUUUCGUCGUAUAGCGAUAUCGGCCCUAUAUCACCUUAUUUCGUGGAAAGAUUCGGCUUCAACGAGAAAUGUAGGAUAAUUGCGUUUACCGGUGAUAAUCCGGGUUCCUUAGUAGGUAUGAGGCUAAAAGAAGGUGAUAUCGCUUGCAGUUUGGGUACGAGCGAUACAUUAUUUCUAUGGUUGAAGGAACCCAAGACCAUAACAGACGGUCACGUACUGUGCAAUCCAGUGGACGAUAAGGCUUACAUGGCAUUACUUUGCUUUAAAAAUGGUUCCCUGACGCGCGAAAGAAUACGGGACGAUGCCGCGCAAGGUAGCUGGCAGAUAUUCAACGAAUUAUUAGAGAGUACUCCGCGAGGAAAUUUCGGCAAUUUUGCCUUGUAUUUCGAUACGCAAGAGAUCUUACCUUUUGUCAUUGGAGAUUAUCGAUACAACAAGGCUAAUGAUGAGAUUUCUCGAUACAGUUCGAAGGAGGUGGAAGUGAGAGCGCUGAUCGAGGGUCAAUUUGUCGCAAAGAGAGCGUACGCUGAAGACUUCGGAUUUGUUAUCGGAUCAAAUACUCGGAUAAUUGCAACGGGAGGUGCCUCUAUAAAUAAAGCUAUACUGCAAGUACUUUCGGAUGUGUUUAAUUCGCCAGUGUAUAUUUCGGUAAACAUAUUGAAGCAGCUAAUUCGGCUAUGAUGGGUGCAGCGUAUCAAGCCAAACAUGGUUUACUACGAAAUAAUUGCAGCUUCGACGAAAUUAUACGCUCUGCGCCAGAAUUAACACUGGUAUGCCAACCUUACGAUGAUGCCGAAUCGAUUUACAAACCCAUGACCUUACGUUAUCGCAAAAUUAUAGAUCAGAUAUUAAAGAGGAGGAGCGAACAAAAACAUGUAUAAAUUUUGUAUAAAAAGCUCUAAAAAGGCCUUUUAUAAUAUAUGCAUGAUAUUUCUUGGAUUAAAUGCAAAACGAUAGAUUUGUACUAUUAAAAAAAAUUUUCUAAACAUAUUCUUAAAUUGUUUAGAAUAAUGAAAUUUAUACAAUGUACUUUUUAUUAUAUCUUAAAAGAAAAACAUUUUAUAUACGAAUGAGAAUCUUUUGUACAAUAUCUGUGCGAUUAUGUAAAAAUUUUUCUUAGCCUCGGCUUUAAUUGAUAUUGUAAAUAACACAUAUGCAUUUUUACUUUUUUAACGCUUUAACAAAAUAAUUAGUCUAAUUAAAACGAUUACAUACAAAGAAAGUUCUAUACAUAAACCAUCUUAAAAUAAUUACAAAAUUAUAUUUUAUAGUUGUAAUAAUUAACGAUAUACUCAUGUUAAUCAAAUUGAAAGUAAAUCUUAUUCUCAUUAUUACACAAACACAAAACUAAGUAUAUGCAAUACAAAAGAAAUCAAGCUUAAUUACAAAAAAAAAAGAUCUUAUUUAAAGUAAUAUUUAUUAAAAUUAUAUUAUAAGUUAUAAUUGUUACAUGCGUUAUAUGGAUCUUAAGAAUGAAUCCAAUUGUAUAUUUUGAUCAUAUAUAUGUUAUCUUAAAUGGUUA